AAGUCGUAACAAGGUUUCCGUAGGUGAACCUGCGGAAGGAUCAUUAACACGUAUCCAACGUUAAACAACCCUGUGAACUUUCAACCCCACCGGAAUGAGAUUAAUUUCCAACUCCGGCGAAGACAAGUGACCUGGCACCUGACCUCAUCAAAGCUCUGACAGCGUGCCUCUGGAUGCUUAAUGGAAGGGUGACGCAGUAACGAUCGCUGGAGGCCCACACGGCCGGCGACCGGGUCAGCGGCAUUCUUUAAUGCCCCUUAAAACCACUUAACAUGACGACAGUUCCUCUUUAACUUGAGUUGAGCUAUAACAAAAAACUAAUACAACUGUUAACAAUGGAUAUCUUGGUUCUC
rnacentral:misc_RNA from 1 species